rnacentral:rRNA from 1 species
CCUACGGGGGGCUGCAGUGAGGAAUAUUGGUCAAUGGUCGGGAGACUGAACCAGCCAAGCCGCGUGAGGGAGGACGGUACAGAGUAUUGUAAACUUCUUUUGUCAGGGAAUAAAGUGUGGCACGUGUCCCUGGUUGUGUGUACUUUAUGAAUAAGGAUCGGCUAACUCCGUGCCAGCAGCCGCGGUAAUACGGAGGAUCCGAGCGUUAUCCGGAUUUAUUGGGUUUAAAGGGUGCGCAGAUGGGUUGUUAAGUCAGGUGUGAAAGCUUGCGGCUCAACCGUAAGACUGCAAUUGAUACUGGCAGUCUUGAGUUGAGUUGAGGUAUGCGGAAUGCGUGGUGUAGCGGUGAAAUGCAUAGAUAUCACGAAGAACUCCGAUUGCGAAGGCAGCAUACCA